AUUGAACGCUGGCGGCAGGCCUAACACAUGCAAGUCGAACGAGUGGCGGACGGGUGAGUAAUGUCUGGGAAACUGCCUGCUGGAGGGGGAUAACUACUGGACACGGUAGCUAAUACCGCAUACCAUCAGAUGUGCCCCGAUGGGAUUAGCUUGUUGGAGGGGUAACGGCUCACCAAGGCGACGAUCCCUAGCUGGUCUGAGCGGAUUACCAGCCACACUGUAACUGAUACACGGUCCAGACUCCUACGGGAGGCAGCAGGGGGGAAUAUGGCACAAUGGGCGCAAGCCUGAUGCAGCCAUGCCGCGUGUAUGAAGAAGGCCUUCGGGUUGUAAAGUACUUUCAGCGGGGAGGCGUUACCCGCAGAAGAAGCACCGGCUAACUCCGUGCCAGCAGCCGCGGUAAUUC
rnacentral:rRNA from 1 species